GAGUGCACUAGAUUGGGCUCAGCUGUGAUGAUCCUCAUUUUCCCAUCUGACUAAUCCCAAGACACUUCUUGUUCAGGCUCGCAGGACAAGAGGGCCCAGCAACAGUUGUGGAAUCGUGUCUCUGGACAACACGAGUCGCUUGCCUUUAGGAGAAGAAUCUUAUGCCACAGUAAAUGCGCUGAUGGCUCAGUGGGCGAAGUUUGCUAUUGAACCAUUCAACCAGAAGAGGAGAUCCUACAUUCAAUCUCUAGUAUCUACAAAACUGUGACAAUCAGCCAUGAAGACCCUACAAAGGCAAAGUCGAAAGAUUGAUUGACUGUCUGGAAUCGAUUGAAUUCUUAUCGAGUGUCGAGAAAAACGUGCUCGCUGCAAUUAUCAGAACGACGGGCGAUUUUGUUUUAAACUUUGCAAUGAAGAAACAAAAGAAAGAAAGGAAG